rnacentral:SRP_RNA from 1 species
CCGUGCUAGGCGGGGAACUAGCGGUGCCCUGUACCUGCAAUCCGCUCCAGCAGGGCUGAAUUCCCUCCCGAGGUCGGCGUUCUCGAGAGCCGACGACGUUCGCGACGUUGAGGACCGGGUCCCGCGCAGCGGCGACUCGUGAACCGUGUCAGGUCCGGAAGGAAGCAGCACUCAGCGGUGAUCGCCGGGUGCCGCGGAACGGCCUGGUCCGAGCCGCGGGCAUCGGUGGGCGCGGGGGCGUCCUGAUCGACGGAGGGUGCACGG